GCGCGGGGGAAGCAACACUUGGAGGACCAAGAACCAUAGAUGCCGGGGCUAGGGCUUUCUGUUUAUGGAUCUCUUCUUCGUCGCAGCGGCUUCCGACUUCCGGUCCCGGCCUCCUGGCGCUGUUAGGAAGGCGGGGCAGGCGGGCCAGCGCUUGGAGACGGCGCGAGGUGCAGGAGCGGCAGCAUGGCAACGGCCGCGGCUACCAAGGUUCCUGAAGUUCGGGAUGUCACUCGGAUUGAACGCAUUGGGGCCCACUCCCACAUUAGAGGACUUGGCUUGGAUGAUACAUUGGAACCAAGACAGGUGUCUCAGGGCAUGGUAGGCCAGCUGGCUGCCCGACGUGCUGCUGGUGUGAUCUUAGAGAUGAUCAAGGAAGGCAAGAUCGCAGGCCGCGCCGUCCUGAUUGCUGGGCAGCCAGGCACAGGGAAAACUGCCAUUGCCAUGGGAAUGGCACAAGCGCUGGGCCUUGACACCCCCUUUACAGCCAUUGCUGGCAGCGAAAUCUUCUCCUUGGAGAUGAGCAAAACUGAAGCAUUGACUCAGUCCUUCCGGCGCUCUAUCGGUGUCCGCAUCAAGGAGGAAACGGAAAUCAUUGAAGGUGAAGUGGUGGAGAUCCAAAUAGACCGUCCAGCAACUGGCACAGGUGCUAAGGUAGGGAAGCUGACCUUGAAGACAACUGAAAUGGAGACAGUCUACGACUUGGGUACCAAGAUGAUUGAGUCACUGACCAAGGAGAAAGUGCAAGCUGGAGAUGUCAUCACUAUUGACAAAGCCACAGGGAAGAUCACAAAACUUGGGCGUUCUUUCACCAGGGCACGGGACUACGAUGCCAUGGGUUCACAGACGAAGUUUGUGCAAUGUCCCGACGGGGAGCUGCAGAAACGCAAAGAAGUGGUGCACACGGUCUCACUGCAUGAAAUCGAUGUCAUCAACAGCCGCACGCAAGGCUUCCUGGCACUCUUCUCUGGUGACACAGGAGAGAUAAAAUCAGAAGUGCGGGAGCAGAUUAACGCCAAGGUAGCUGAGUGGCGAGAGGAGGGCAAGGCGGAGGUGAUCCCUGGGGUUCUGUUCAUUGAUGAGGUCCACAUGCUGGACAUUGAGUGCUUUUCCUUCCUGAACCGGGCCUUGGAGAGUGACAUGGCACCUGUCCUCAUCAUGGCUACCAACCGAGGCAUUACCAGGAUUCGUGGCACCAACUACCAGAGCCCCCAUGGUAUCCCGAUUGAUCUGCUGGAUCGUAUGCUCAUCAUUUCAACCUCCCCAUACAGUGACAAGGAGACCAAGCAGAUCCUCAAGAUCCGGUGCGAGGAGGAAGAUGUUGAGAUGAACGAAGAUGCCUACUCAGUGCUAACCCGCAUUGGCUUGGAGACCUCCCUGCGCUAUGCCAUCCAACUCAUCACAGCAGCCAGCCUGGUGUGUCGCAAGAGGAAGGGUACUGAGGUCCAGGUGGAUGAUAUCAAGCGUGUGUACUCCCUGUUCCUGGAUGAGUCACGUUCCACUCAGUACAUGAAAGAGUACCAGGAUGCCUUCAUGUUCAAUGAGCUCAGUGAGUAAGGGGAGAAAGGGAUCAUUGGAUAUCUCCCCAAGUCAAGGUCACCUCACCCUAAGAAGGGGAGACCAUGGACACAUCAUGAUGGACUCUGGGCACCUGGCUCAGGUUGUGUGUAUGAGUGGAUGCUUUUAUUUUAUUUUUUUGUAAAAUAAACCCUUUGGAAGCUU